rnacentral:rRNA from 1 species
GCAUAUCAAUAAGCGGAGGAAAAAGAAACCAACAGGGAUUGCCCCAGUAACGGCGAGUGAAGCGGCAACAGCUCAAAUUUGAAAUCUGGCCCCCAGGGCCCGAGUUGUAAUUUGCAGAGGAUGCUUCUGGCGCGGCGCCUUCCGAGUUCCCUGGAACGGGACGCCAUAGAGGGUGAGAGCCCCGUCCGGUCGGACGCCAAGCCUGUGUGAAGCUCCCUCGACGAGUCGAGUAGUUUGGGAAUGCUGCUCUAAACGGGAGGUAUAUGUCUUCUAAAGCUAAAUACCGGCCAGAGACCGAUAGCGCACAAGUAGAGUGAUCGAAAGAUGAAAAGCACUUUGAAAAGAGGGUUAAACAGUACGUGAAAUUGUUGAAAGGGAAGCGCUCGCGACCAGACUUGGGCGCGGCGGAUCACCCGGCGCUCGCCGCCGGGGCACUCCGCCCGCCCAGGCCAGCAUCGGCUCGCGCCGGGGGACAAAGGCGGCGGGAACGUGGCUCCCUCCGGGGAGUGUUAUAGCCCGCCGCGCAAUGCCCUGGCCGCGGGCCGAGGACCGCGCAUCUGCAAGGAUGCUGGCGUAAUGGUCGCCAGCGACCCGUCUUGAAACACGGACCAAGGAGUCGUCUUCGUAUGCGAGUGUUCGGGUGGCAAACCCCUACGCGUAAUGAAAGUGAACGCAGGUGAGAGCUUCGGCGCAUCACCGACCGAUCCUGAUGUUCUCGGAUGGAUUUGAGUAGGAGCAUACGGGGCCGGACCCGAAAGAAGGUGAACUAUGCCUGUGUAGGGUGAAGCCAGAGGAAACUCUGGUGGAGGCUCGCAGCGGUUCUGACGUGCAAAUCGAUCGUCAAACAUGGGCAUGGGGGCGAAAGACUAAUCGAACCUUCUAGUAGCUGGUUUCCGCCGAAG